GACGAGUUACAGAAGGAAUUUCCCCAUCUCUUUGCAGGAUCUUCCGAAUCUCGAGGACAAGAUUCUUCUUAAGGGGGUAGGAUUUGUAACACCCAAAAUUUUGAAUAAUUCAAAUUCAUUAAAAUUUUGCUCAAAUUAGGGUGUCAUUUAAAUUCUAGGCAUUUAAUUUCAUUUUCUUUAAUUUAAUUAAAUUCAUCAUAAGAGUUAAUUGUGCAUUCAUGCUGGUGCAUUUAUUUUGAUUGCUUGAGUUUGAAUCAAAAUUUGAAUUUCCAAAUUUAAAUUUGAUUUCCCAAAACCUUUUUCCUUUUCUUUUUCUUUUUCCUUUUCUUCUUCUUCUCCUGGGCCGCAAUCUUCUUUUCCUUCCCUUUCCCCUUCUUCUUUCGGCCCAGCCGAGCUGCAGCUCCUCCGGCCGCUCCACCUUUUCACCGGCCCAGCUUCCUUCCCGCGCGGCCCAACCGCAGCUACCCCGCCGGCCCUCUUCUUUCUCUUUGCCGGCCCAGCAUCCCACACGGCCUGCCGCUCGCCCUCUUCUCCGCGGCCCGCGAACGCGCGCCGGCCCAUCGCGGUCGCCUACCGCCUGCAGUCAUCGACGGGUGGGGCCACCCGUCAUCUCCUUCCUCCGGCCGGACUCUCCUCCGCCCGCAACCACCGCGCGAGAUCUCCGGGUGGGUGCCGCUGUCCCCGGCCGAUUUGAAUCCGGGGCCGCUCUAUCCCUUGACGCGCA
rnacentral:lncRNA from 1 species